GUCUAUGGCCAUACCACCCUGAACACGCCCAAUUUCAUCUGAUCUCAGAAGUUAAACAGGGUCAGGCUUGGUUAGUACUUGGAUGGGAGGAAGGGAACAAAAACAUAUUCA
ensembl:rRNA 5S_rRNA 5S ribosomal RNA